GUGCACUCGCGCGACGACGAGCUCCAUACACUCAGAGAAUCAGUCUGAAGCAAAGAUCCUAUAGCGGAGCAAGAUAGGCCACUCCUGCGAAAUACAAUGGGCUGACGUGUAGUACGCUACGGAGGGGGUCCUGGGCAUUUUUCCCCGCCCAUUUUAGUAACCGGAACCUACCCGACCCGACUCGCAGUGUAAUCAACGUUGCGGGGGAACAGUUUGUGUGUGUGAUAUAGGGAUCUUUGAUCUAAAUAUACUGCAUCCAUCAUCAUCUAUGCUGCAAGGUAUAUCCUCAACUUUUAUUACAUUUAUCAAACAUAAUUUCCCUUUCAUUAAAGCAAAUCUUUAAUU